rnacentral:lncRNA from 1 species
UCAAGAAACUCCUUUCUGUUUGCCUAAGAUAUAGUUAACCCAGACAGGGACUGGAUCGACCGUCCUAUGUCUUAGUUGAUCCAGUCUCAAUCUGAGCCGACUAACACUCUAAAUCUACUUGUUCCUUUGCAGCUUCAGCUUUGACUCUGGUUUCUUGCUCCACCUUAUGUCUUCAGAUCUCCGGAGCACCAACCAAGCCUCUCGAAGUUUUGAAUAUCCGGACCUUAAGUCUGCGGAGAGCUAUGCAUCACCUCCAC